GAUGAACGCUGACAGAAUGCUUAACACAUGCAAGUCUACUUGAAUUUGGGUUUUUUAACUUCGAUUUGGGUGGCGGACGGGUGAGUAACGCGUAAAGAACUUGCCUCACAGUUAGGGACAACAUUUGGAAACGAAUGCUAAUACCUGAUAUUAUGAAUAUAUGGCAUCAUAUACUUAUGAAAGCUAUAAGCGCUGUGAGAGAGCUUUGCGUCCCAUUAGCUAGUUGGAGAGGUAACGGCUCACCAAGGCGAUGAUGGGUAGCCGGCCUGAGAGGGUGAACGGCCACAAGGGGACUGAGACACGGCCCUUACUCCUACGGGAGGCAGCAGUGGGGAAUAUUGGACAAUGGACCAAGAGUCUGAUCCAGCAAUUCUGUGUGCACGAUGACGUUUUUCGGAAUGUAAAGUGCUUUCAGUUGGGAAGAAAAAAAUGACGGUACCAACAGAAGAAGAGACGGCUAAAUACGUG
rnacentral:rRNA from 1 species